rnacentral:rRNA from 1 species
UACGUAGGGCGCAAGCGUUGUCCGGAAUUAUUGGGCGUAAAGAGCUCGUAGGCGGCCUGUUGCGUCCGCUGUGAAAUCCCGGGGCUCAACCCCGGGCCUGCAGUGGAUACGGGCUGGCUAGAGGCAGGCAGGGGAGAACGGAAUUCCUGGUGUGGCGGUGAAAUGCGCAGAUAUCGGGAGGAACACCGGUGGCGAAGGCGGUUCUCUGGGCCUUACCUGACGCUGAGGAGCGAAAGCGUGGGGAGCGAACAGG